UCUGUACUUCUUUUGAAUUUCCCCUGUAACAAGCUGCCUGUCUUUUUCUUUCCUGGAAUUGCAAUACUUCAGUUUAAUAUUUUAAAUUAUCGAAUGAUGAAAGACAAGGGUUUUACGGAUAGUAUCUGGCACUGGACAGCUUCUCAGCAAGCUGUUUGCUUUGUUUUUAUCUGGGAGAUUCUGUUUUCUUUAACAAGCAUUGGCACCUGGUCUUAUACCUGUCUGGCCACCAUAUGUACCAGGAAGACAGCUGGGUUACAACCCUGGGAGAUCUCUACCUGUUCCUGGAAAGCUUGGUGCUGGUACCUAAGAUCCUUGUGCCCUCACCCGAUGUUGUAGUGGAUGAACCUGGUUAAACUUACAUAGUACAUUGUGCAACUUCUCAUGAUUGCUGAAUAUGUUAUCUACUGCACUGUACCUUUGCUGCAGUGGCUAAGGCCUCGGAAAAUAAAGGCAAGCAAACAAGUGGCAGAUGCAGUAUUUAUUGAUCUGUCCAAGUCAUUUGAUAACAUGGACCACAUAUUAGAAUGUGACUGGUUAUUAAAAAUAGGUGGAUGCUUAAUUCUAAAUAUUAUUGUUAAAUCAUCUUUGCCUACUUAUGUAGUGAGUACCCUACCAUUACAAUCCCAAUUCUGAUAAAAUGUUUGCAAAACAACAUCCAGAUAUAACUCUAAUUUCAAUAAUGUUUUAGUUUAUUGGAUUAUACGAUGAUCAUACAAACUAUAAUCUUGUAUUUUACUUACACAUUUGUAAGAAUUAAUUGUAAUCUUAGUUAAUUAAACCAAUAGUUUUUUUCUAUGCAGAACCAACUGCAUGUUUUGACUUCUAAUGUUUCCAUUACAGUAUAAAUUUGUUUAGCAGCAGUUUCUGAAUACUAAAUCCUAGAAGUAAUCACCACAUUGAAAGAAUAUAUUAUAAAGUGAAAAGUUUAAAUGUGGGUGCUUCAAAACAAUGACCACGUGCAGGUAAAAAACAGAGCAGAAUAUAUGCAGAAGAAGGGAGAACAGUAAGUCGUCUUUCAAUAAACUCCCUGACCAAAAAAAUGUGUUAACAUUCAAUACAGUAGGCAUUUUAAAACGUCUUGAAUAAGUUCAACAAAGUCUUUAUUCAAUUGUUUCAACUGAGUAGAAGUAGAAAGAUCUACAGCAUUACAGUGCAGUGAUCCCUAAAGUACUGGUUAACUCUCCAACUGCACUGAAGAUAACAAAUAGUUUAGUUUUAUACAGGCAAUAAAACACGCAUUCAUUAACAUAUAGCCUAUUACAUACCACUAACAUCCCACUUACCCAAUAAUAGCUAACUAAUUACCAUACUACUGUCAAAAUAGAAAAUGUGUGUACAGCUUUCAUUGUUACUAGUGUGCAGGAACUAUUAUUAGUUGAAUUACCCAUUGUGGCAAAGUGCCCCGGCCUUGUGCAUAUUUUUGUGUUAUAUGUUGCAUGUGGUGUGUUAAUAUUUGUGUAUAGGUAUUGGUGCACGGUAUAUAAAUGGGUCUGUGUAGCACAGGUGAUGUAAAAUGUAUAAUUGUAUUUAGACACUGUAGCAUCAGAGGUGGUCAUAAUAUCAUUCUAUGUAUGAAAGUAACAGAAUUGAAAUAUACAGAGGAGGAAUCUUAAACCAUUCUGUGUCUUCUUGGUUUCUGGUCACAAACUCCCCCACUGACAAAGAAUGCUUUUAAAAAGAGUCAUAAACUAAUUGCUGAACAAAUGGCUUCUCUUCAUGAUCGCUGAAUGACAAUUUUGGUGCCGCAAGCCAGACAGUUCUGGGUGCUUUGACACCUAAGAGAGGAACCAGUCCAUCAAAGUAGUUUACGUGCAGCUGUACCUAGAUUCCAAAUUGAAUGAUUGAUUAGCAAUCGAGUCUCGGUACACCUGCAUAAAAGGUGCAGUGUUUCACUCACUCGGGGUUGUGUGUUGCGUGAGUGGAGAACAGGUGUGGAGAGGAAAUUAAAAUAAUAAUUAAAAGAUAACAAAUGGUACUCAUGAGAGAG